GACGAACGCUGGCGGCGUGCCUAAUACAUGCAAGUAGAACGCUGAAGCUUGGUGCUUGCACCGAGCGGAUGAGUUGCGAACGGGUGAGUAACGCGUAGGUAACCUGCCUGGUAGCGGGGGAUAACUAUUGGAAACGAUAGCUAAUACCGCAUAAAAUGGAUUAUCGCAUGAUAAUCGAUUGAAAGGUGCAAAUGCAUCACUACCAGAUGGACCUGCGUUGUAUUAGCUAGUUGGUGGGGUAACGGCUCACCAAGGCGACGAUACAUAGCCGACCUGAGAGGGUGAUCGGCCACACUGGGACUGAGACACGGCCCAGACUCCUACGGGAGGCAGCAGUAGGGAAUCUUCGGCAAUGGACGGAAGUCUGACCGAGCAACGCCGCGUGAGUGAAGAAGGUUUUCGGAUCGUAAAGCUCUGUUGUAAGAGAAGAACGAGUGUGAGAGUGGAAAGUUCACACUGUGACGGUUAUCUACCA
rnacentral:rRNA from 1 species